UUAACCACAGACUCGUUAAUUGCUCGUUAA
rnacentral:piRNA from 1 species